GAUGAACGCCGGCGGCGUGCUUAACACAUGCAAGUCGAACGGUGAAGCAGGAGCUUGCUCUUGUGGAUCAGUGGCGAACGGGUGAGUAACACGGGAGCAACCGGCCCCUGACUCUGGGAUAAGCGCUGGAAACGGCGUCUAAUACUGGAUAUGUGAUGUGAUCACAUGGUAUGCCUCUGGAAAGAAUUUCGGUUGGGGAUGGCCUCGCGGCCUAUCAGGUUGUUGGUAAGUAAAUGGCUCACCAAGGCGUAGACGGGUAGCCGGCCUGAAAGGGUGACCCGCCACACUGGGACUGAGACACGGCCCAGACUUCUACGGGAGGCAGCAGUGGGGAAUAUUGCACAAUGGGCGGAAGCCUGAUGCAGCAACGCCGCGUGAGGGAUGACGGCAUUCGGGUUGUAAACCUCUUUUAGCGGGGAAGAAGCGAAAGUGACGGUACCUGCAGAAAAAGCACCGGCUAACUACGUGCCAGCCGCCGCCGUAA
rnacentral:rRNA from 1 species